CAGAGGGAGAAGCAGACUUCCUGCGGGGAGCCUGAUGUGGGACUCGAUCCCAGGACCCCAGGAUCAUGACCUGAGCCAAAGGUAGAAGUUCAACCAUUGAGUCACUCAGGUGUCUCUGAACUAGAAAUAUUAAAGCUUUCACUAAAUCAUCUUGAAAGGCAGAGGGUAGGAGUAAAUUACAACAUCCUUUCAUUUCUACUGGACUCUUCUUUUUCUCUUCCUUUCAGCAAUAGCCCGAAAUCUCAAUUAGAAUAGGCUGAAAUUGGGCAGCCCGGCUAGCUCAGCAGUUUAGCGCCUGCUUUCGGCCCAGGGUGUGAUCCCAGAAACCUAGGAUCGAGUCCCACAUCAGGCUCCCUGCAUAGGAGCCUGCUUCUUCUCCCUCUGCCUCUCUCUCUCUCUGUCUCUCAUAAAUAAAAAUCUGAAAAAAAAAAAAGGCUGAAAUUUACAACCUUACAAAGUUGAAAAAACUGUUGACAUCAAGCCAAGACCCUACCUACCUACUUUGUCAAGUUUGAGAAGACAAAAUUUGUCAAUGCCCUAUCAUCUCUUUCAAGAAUAUUGCUCAAUGUUCAUCUUCUAAUUUACACGCAGUACUGUCAAGGUCCUCCUUAUCUUGAUGACCUUCAUACUCCAAAAUUCCUUUCAUCCAUUCUCUGAGAGAUUAAUGAAGGCUCAACUAGGAUUUAGGUUAAUGGAUUAAUGAAAAGUGGAGAGGGGGAACCCCUGGGUGCCUCAGCAGUUGAACCUCUGCCUUUGGCCCAAGGCGUGAUCCUGGAGUCCUGGGAUCCAGUCUCGCAUCGGGCUCCCUGCAUGGAACCUGCUUCUCCCUCUGCCUGUGUCUCUGCCUCUCUCUGUGUCUCUCAUGAAUAAAUAAAUAAAAUCUUUAAAAAAAAAAGUGGAGAGGGGAGGUGUCUAAAUCCUUUAGGAGAUAUUUGCAACAAAGAGAAGCUCAUAAUCCAAAUAUCUUUUUAAAUAUUUAUUUUAGAGAGAGAGUGUGUGAAAUGGGAAGGAGGGGCAGGGGUAGAUGGAGAGGAAGAGUCUUAAGCAGACACUGUACUGAGCAGGGAGCCCAAGGUGGGGCUCAAUUUUAGGAUCCAGAGAUCACGACCUGGCCAGAAACCAAGAGUGGGAGGCUUACAGACUGUACUGGGACAUAAUUUCAACACUCAUACACCAGAGGAAAAUACCUGAAGUUAUUUUUUUAUCAUUAAUCAUUACUUCAUCUCUUUUUAGCAAAAGACCUCAGAGCCUCCAAUAACAAGUGAGAAGAGGCUUCCAGAGUUUAAUCAAGUUUCUUGACUGGUGGGAUGUUUAGCAGCCAACAAGGUGUGGCUCCGUGGAAAUCAGUUUCCCCAAAGAACUGGGGCUGGCAAAUGGGAAGUUAGUGGAAGAGGUACUUCUUGGAGAUGAGGAAGUCAAGCAAGAAGAUAUGGUGUCCAAGAAACGAAGGAUCUAACUCAGAAGAAGAAUGAGGUUGACUUUCGGAUGCCAGAGGGGCCUGCAGAGCCACAGUCGACAACUGCAGCCCCAGUCAAGUUCCAGGAAAGAAAAAGGAACUGUCAUUGUCUGAGACAUUUAAUUGUACAGAACACAGUCUCCAGAGGGCUUCUGCAAUUUUGUGGCGAGUCGGGGAUAACUCAGUUAGUGGGGACAUAGGAAACUGCCAGAGGAAUCAAUAUGACAAGAAAACUCACAAUCGGAGAAGCAGAGUUGUACAAGAAAUACGUAAUGUAGUAGGCUACUUAGUGAACAUUUGCACAGUCCUAAGAGCUGACUACUGGGGCGCUUGGGUGGCUCAGACAAGCCUCUGCCUCGUUUCAGCUCUGGUCACGAUCUCAGGGUGGUGGGAUCAAAUCCAGCCCCCCCGCCGAGGGUUUUGGUCUCAGCACGAGUCUACUUGACUCUCUUUCUCUCCCCCUCUAACCGCCCCCUCCCACCUCUCUCUCUAAAAUAAAUAAGUCUU